rnacentral:rRNA from 1 species
GACGAACGCUGGCGGCGUGCCUAAUACAUGCAAGUCGAACGCAGUGGGGACGGGUGAGUAACACGUGGGUAACCUCCCAUCAGAGGGGAUAACACUUGGAAACAGGUGCUAAACCGAUACUGAUGGAUGGACCCGCGGUGCAUUAGCUAGUUGGUGGGGUAACUGCUCACCAAGGCCACGAUGCAUAGCCGACCAGAGGGGAUGAGCAGAAACACUGGAACUGGGACACGGCCCAGACUCCGACGGGAGGAAGCAGUGGGGAAUCUUCGGCAAUGGACGAAAGUCUGACCGAGCAACGCCGCGUGAGUGAAGAAGGUUGUCGGGUCGUAGAUCACUGUUGUUAGAGAAGCGGUAUCGAACCAGAAAGCCACGGCUAACUAGGUGCCAGCCGCCGCGGUAAUUC